rnacentral:rRNA from 1 species
GAUGAACGCUGGCGGCGUGCCUAAUACAUGCAAGUCGAGCGAACAGAUAAGGAGCUUGCUCCUUUGACGUUAGCGGCGGACGGGUGAGGAACACGUGGGUAACCUACCUAUAAGACUGGGAUAACUUCGGGAAACCGGAGCUAAUACCGGAUAACAUUUGGAACCGCAUGGUUCUAAAGUGAAAGAUGGUUUUGCUAUCACUUAUAGAUGGACCCGCGCCGUAUUAGCUAGUUGGUAAGGUAACGGCUUACCAAGGCGACGAUACGUAGCCGACCUGAGAGGGUGAUCGGCCACACUGGAACUGAGACACGGUCCAGACUCCUACGGGAGGCAGCAGUAGGGAAUCUUCCGCAAUGGGCGAAAGCCUGACGGAGCAACGCCGCGUGAGUGAUGAAGGGUUUCGGCUCGUAAAACUCUGUUAUUAGGGAAGAACAAAUGUGUAAGUAACUGUGCACGUCUUGACGGUACCUAAUCAGAAAGCCACGGCUAACUACGUG